UCGAGCGGACCGACGGGAGCUUGCUCCCUUAGGUCAGCGGCGGACGGGUGAGUAACACGUGGGUAACCUGCCUGUAAGACUGGGAUAACUCCGGGAAACCGGGGCUAAUACCGGAUGCUUGAUUGAACCGCAUGGUUCAAUCAUAAAAGGUGGCUUUUAGCUACCACUUGCAGAUGGACCCGCGGCGCAUUAGCUAGUUGGUGAGGUAACGGCUCACCAAGGCGACGAUGCGUAGCCGACCUGAGAGGGUGAUCGGCCACACUGGGACUGAGACACGGCCCAGACUCCUACGGGAGGCAGCAGUAGGGAAUCUUCCGCAAUGGACGAAAGUCUGACGGAGCAACGCCGCGUGAGUGAUGAAGGUUUUCGGAUCGUAAAACUCUGUUGUUAGGGAAGAACAAGUACCGUUCGAAUAGGGCGGUACCUUGACGGUACCUAACCAGAAAGCCACGGCUAACUACGUGCCAGCAGCCGCGGUAAUACGUAGGUGGCAAGCGUUGUCCGGAAUUAUUGGGCGUAAAGCGCGCGCAGGCGGUUUCUUAAGUCUGAUGUGAAAGCCCCCGGCUCAACCGGGGAGGGUCAUUGGAAACUGGGGAACUUGAGUGCAGAAGAGGAGAGUGGAAUUCCACGUGUAGCGGUGAAAUGCGUACACAUGUGGAGGAACACCAGUGGCGAAGGCG
rnacentral:rRNA from 1 species